rnacentral:rRNA from 1 species
UGGGGAAUUUUGGACAAUGGGCGAAAGCCUGAUCCAGCAAUGCCGCGUGUGUGAAGAAGGCCUUCGGGUUGUAAAGCACUUUUGUCCGGAAAGAAAUCCUUGGCUCUAAUACAGUCGGGGGAUGACGGUACCGGAAGAAUAAGCACCGGCUAACUACGUGCCAGCAGCCGCGGUAAUACGUAGGGUGCAAGCGUUAAUCGGAAUUACUGGGCGUAAAGCGUGCGCAGGCGGUUUGCUAAGACCGAUGUGAAAUCCCCGGGCUCAACCUGGGAACUGCAUUGGUGACUGGCAGGCUAGAGUAUGGCAGAGGGGGGUAGAAUUCCACGUGUAGCAGUGAAAUGCGUAGAGAUGUGGAGGAAUACCGAUGGCGAAGGCAGCCCCCUGGGCCAAUACUGACGCUCAUGCACGAAAGCGUGGGGAGCAAACAGGAUUAGAUACCCUGGUAGUCCACGCCCUAAAACGAUGUCAACUAGUUGUUGGGGGAUUCAUUUCCUUAGUAACGUAGCUAACGCGUGAAGUUGACCGCCUGGGGAGUACGGUCGCAAGAUUAAAACUUAAAUGAAUUGACGGGGUCAUAGCUG